rnacentral:rRNA from 1 species
AUACGGAAGGCAGCAGUGGGGAAUAUUGGACAAUGGGGGCAACCCUGAUCCAGCGACGCCGCGUGUGUGAAGAAGGCCUGCGGGUUGUAAAGCACUUUUAGUGGGGAUGAAAAGCCAAGGGCUAAUACCUUUUGGUCUUGACCUAACCCAAAGAAAAAGCACCGGCUAACUCUGUGCCAGCAGCCGCGGUAAUACAGAGGGUGCAAGCGUUAAUCGGAAUUACUGGGCGUAAAGCGUGCGCAGUCGGUUGUCUAAGUCGGAUGUGAAAUCCCCGGGCUCAACCUGGGAAUUGCAUUCGAUACUGGACAGCUAGAGUUCGGCAGAGGGAAGCGGAAUUUCGGGUGUAGCGGUGAAAUGCGUAGAUAUCCGAAGGAACAUCAGUGGCGAAGGCGGCUUCCUGGACCAGAACUGACGAUCAGGCACGAAAGCGUGGGGAGCAAACAGGAUUAGAAACCCUUGUAGUCCU